rnacentral:rRNA from 1 species
AACAAACGCUGGCGGCGUGCCUAAUACAUGCAAGUCGAACGGGGAAAGCUUUCGGGUGAGUACUAGUGGCGCACGGGUGAGGAACGCGUGGAUAAUAUGCCUUAGAGUGGGGGAUAACUAGUCGAAAGAUUAGCUAAUACCGCAUAAGACCACAGGAGCUGCGGCUCUAGGGGUCAAAGGUUUUUCGCUCUAAGAUGAGUCCGCGUAAGAUUAGCUAGUUGGUGGGGUAACGGCUCACCAAGGCGACGAUCUUUAACUGGUCUGAGAGGAUGAUCAGUCACACUGGAACUGAGACACGGUCCAUACUCCUACGGGAGGCAGCAGUAGGGAAUAUUGCACAAUGGAGGAAACUCUGAUGCAGCGACGCCGCGUGAGUGAUGAAGGCCUUCGGGUCGUAAAGCUCUGUCGCAAGGGAAUAACACAAUGAAUGUACCUUGCAAGAAAGGAUCGGCUAACUUCGUGCCAGCCGCCGCAGUAAUAC